rnacentral:rRNA from 1 species
GCUCAGGAUGAACGCUAGCUACAGGCUUAACACAUGCAAGUCGAGGGGUAGCAGGGUAGCAAUACCGCUGACGACCGGCGCACGGGUGAGUAACACGUAUCCAACCUUCCCAUAACUCGGGGAUAGCCUUUCGAAAGAAAGAUUAAUACCCGAUAGUACUUAAGAAAGGCAUCUUUUUUAAGUUAAAGAUUUAUUGGUUAUGGAUGGGGAUGCGUUCCAUUAGAUAGUUGGUGAGGUAACGGCUCACCAAGUCUUCGAUGGAUAGGGGUUCUGAGAGGAAGGUCCCCCACAUUGGUACUGAGACACGGACCAAACUCCUACGGGAGGCAGCAGUGAGGAAUAUUGGUCAAUGG